rnacentral:rRNA from 1 species
CAGCAGCCGCGGUAAUACGUAGGGUGCGAGCGUUAAUCGGAAUUACUGGGCGUAAAGCGUGCGCAGGCGGUUCGUUAAGACAGAUGUGAAAUCCCCGGGCUUAACCUGGGAACUGCAGUUGUGACUGACGGGCUAGAGUAUGGCAGAGGGGGGUAGAAUUCCACGUGUAGCAGUGAAAUGCGUAGAGAUGUGGAGGAAUACCGAUGGCGAAGGCAGCCCCCUGGGCCAAUACUGACGCUCAUGCACGAAAGCGUGGGGAGCAAACAGGAUUAGAUACCCCUGUAGUCCCUGUCUCUUAUAC